rnacentral:lncRNA from 1 species
AAGGAAGUGAGAAAAUGAAUAAUGCAAACAUUUGGGGAAAGAGCACUCUAGGCAGAGGAGGCAACUGCAAAGGCCACUGUUGUGGGUAUAAUUGUGUUCUCCUGAAAGAAGACACAGAAACAGAGACACAUGGGAGAAUGCCAUGUGAUGACAGAGGAGAGACUGAAAUGGUACAGCCACAAGCUCAGGAAUGCCAAGAAUUGAGAGCCACCACCAGAAGCUAGGAAGAGUUCAGGACAUCAAGGCAGCCAUGACAGAAUUAAAGACACUCACAAAUGAGGACUUCCAGAACUGCUUCAGAAAGUGGCAAGAAAAAGCAAAGGCUUUCAGCUCCCCUCCUCCAACCUGAG